rnacentral:rRNA from 1 species
GUCCUGGCAGUAAACGGUGCACGUUUGGUGUGGGCGCAAUCGACCGCGUCCGCGCCGGAGCUAACGCGUUAAACGUGCCGCCUGGGAAGUACGGUCGCAAGAUUAAAACUCAAAGAAAUUGACGGGGACCCGCACAAGCGGUGGAGUAUGUGGCUUAAUUCGAUGCAACGCGAAGAACCUUACCUGGUCUUGACAUGCAUUGUGUCUCCGGUGAAAGCCGGAUAGGGUAGCAAUACCCGCUUUGCACAGGUGCUGCAUGGCUGUCGU